UCUAUUUCUGCUCACAUUGAUUACGAUGUGAUAUAGUUGUUGGCAGUAAAGCGACAAUGUUGUCAAAGUAAUGUUUGUAAGACAAUUAUACAUAAAAAAAGUAAAAUCUACGUUAAUAUUUCAUGUGUAAUUGUAUUCUUUGUCCUUUAGGAGCAUGGUUGAAUCAAGUCUUGGAGAAAAUCUUCACACCAUCCAGUGUCUGCUCCUCUUCCAGACUCCUCCAGCUGUGCCACAUCAGAUUCACCGGCACCGGCCGCCACCAUCAGCCAGCUUCUUGUUUUUUACAGAAAUGCGCCGCUUGCAGUGCGAUACUCCUCCAUACCAGGAGUCAUCUUGCAAGAAGGGGCACGAUGUCUGGGAGUGCAGCCUGUCAGAUCGGCGAUGACCUGCAGAUGCUCCUCAGAAAUGAGGUCUGGUUAACAGACACAUGAAAACAACUGAAAAAAUGACGACAUGAAACCAGCUUCAAGGCUAGCCUUGAGUUCAGGUGUGUACCUGUGGCGUUGAUGGAGCGCUUGUGGCGUCGUUUCAACGAGUCCCUGAACAGCUUCACAGCCACGUGCAUGUAGUCUGCGGCUCGGACCGCGGUUCUGGACGCUCCAAUGGGCUGCUUUACGAGCCGCAUGACAUUGGAGGGGUUCACCGCAUUCCUCCUCACGCGGGCAAGACUCCUGUCACAUGACACAGGUCACAUUAGGGUUUGUAAAAAAAAAAAGAACUAUGCUGAAAAAAAAAAGCCGACUUACUCAUGUCUGGAGAACUUGUAAGCGUCAUCCACAGCGGCCUUCGCUGCCAACACAGCAGCCUCAAUGUCACGCACAUUCAAACGGGAUUCUGAAAACAAUAAAAGAAAAACAGAUACUGUGAAAA